rnacentral:rRNA from 1 species
GUCGCAAGACUGAAACUCAAAGGAAUUGACGGGGACCCGCACAAGCAGUGGAGUAUGUGGUUUAAUUCGAAGCAACGCGAAGAACCUUACCAGGUCUUGACAUCCCUUUGAUCGGUCUAGAGAUAGAUCUUUCCUUCGGGACAGAGGAGACAGGUGGUGCAUGGUUGUCGUCAGCUCGUGUCGUGAGAUGUUGGGUUAAGUCCCGCAACGAGCGCAACCCUUAUGCUUAGUUGCCAGCA